UACGUAUGGAGCAAGCGUUAUCCGGAUUUACUGGGUGUAAAGGGAGCGUAGGCGGCCGUUUAAGUCUGAUGUGAAAACCCAAGGCUCAACCAUGGGAUUGCAUUGGAAACUGGAUGGCUAGAGUGUCGGAGAGGUAAGUGGAAUUCCUAGUGUAGCGGUGAAAUGCAUAGAUAUUAGGAGGAACACCAGUGGCGAAGGCGGCUUACUGGACGACUACUGACGCUGAGACUCGAAAGCGUGGGGAGCAAAC
rnacentral:rRNA from 1 species